GAUUAUGGCUCAGGAUGAACGCUAGCGACAGGCUUAACACAUGCAAGUCGAGGGGCAGCAUAAAAGUAGCAAUACUUGGUGGCGACCGGCGCACGGGUGAGUAACGCGUAUGCAACCUACCUAUCAGAGGGGAAUAACCCGGCGAAAGUCGGACUAAUACCGCAUAAAACAGGGGCACCGCAUGGUGAUAUUUGUUAAAGAAAUUCGCUGAUAGAUGGGCAUGCGUUCCAUUAGGUAGUUGGUGAGGUAACGGCUCACCAAGCCGACGAUGGAUAGGGGAACUGAGAGGUUGGUCCCCCACACUGGUACUGAGACACGGACCAGACUCCUACGGGAGGCAGCAGUGAGGAAUAUUGGUCAAUGGGCGGGAGCCUGAACCAGCCAAGUCGCGUGAAAGGAAGAAGGAUCUAUGGUUCGUAAACUUCUUUUGCAGGGGAAUAAAGUGCAGGACGUGUCCUGUUUUGUAUGUACCCUGAGAAUAAGGAUCGGCUAACUCCGUGCCAGCCGCUGC
rnacentral:rRNA from 1 species